AAUCAACGCUGGCGGCGUGCCUCAGACAUGCAAGUCGAACGCGAAAGUCCCCUUCGGGGGGACAAGUAGAGUGGCGCACGGGUGAGUAACACGUAGGUAAUCUACCUUCGGAUGGGGAAUAACAACCGGAAACGGUUGCUAAUACCGCAUAAUGCAGCGGCACCUAAUGGUGACAGUUGUUAAAGCGGGGGAUCGUAAGACCUCGCGUCUGAAGAGGAGCCUGCGGCGGAUUAGCUAGNGGUAGGGUAACGGCCUACCAAGGCGACGAUCCGUAGCCGGCCUGAGAGGGGC
rnacentral:rRNA from 1 species